AGUAAGAUAAGCUAAAAAAGCUACUGGGCUCAUACCCCAGGAAUGAGAAUUUUCUCUCCUACUA
rnacentral:tRNA from 1 species